rnacentral:rRNA from 1 species
CGCAGCCGCGGUAAUUCCAGCUCCAAUAGCGUAUAUUAAAGUUGUUGCAGUUAAAAAGCUCGUAGUUGAAUUUCGGGAUUGACACAUCGGUCGUGCCUUAAGGGGUAUGAACUGGUGUAGUCAAUUUCUCACCUUCUGGAGAACCGCGAUGCCCUUAAUUGGGUGUCGCGGGGAACCAGGACCUUUACUUUGAAAAAAUUAGAGUGUUUAAAGCAGGCAUUUUGCUUGAAUACAUUAGCAUGGAAUAAUAAAAUAGGACGGCAUGAUUCUAUUUUGUUGGUUUCUAGGAUCACCGUAAUGAUUAAUAGGGAUAGUUGGGGGCAUUAGUAUUCAAUUGUCAGAGGUGAAAUUCUUGGAUUUAUUGAAGACUAACUACUGCGAAAGCAUUUGCCAAGGAUGUUUUCAUUAAUCAAGAACGAAAGUUAGGGGAUCGAAGACGAUCAGAUACCGUCGUAGUCUUAACCAUAAACUAUGCCGACUAGGAAUCAGACGAUGUUAAUUUUUUAAUGACUCGUUUGGU